UACGUAGGGUGCAAGCGUUAAUCGGAAUUACUGGGCGUAAAGCGUGCGCAGGCGGUUUGGUAAGACAGAUGUGAAAUCCCCGGGCUUAACCUGGGAAUUGCAUUUGUGACUGCCCGGCUAGAGUGUGUCAGAGGGGGGUAGAAUUCCACGUGUAGCAGUGAAAUGCGUAGAGAUGUGGAGGAAUACCGAUGGCGAAGGCAGCCCCCUGGGAUAACACUGACGCCUCAUGCACGAAAGCGUGGGGAGCAAACAGG
rnacentral:rRNA from 1 species